UUCUGAACUGUGUUGUCAGAGCCAGGCUGUGAUGGCUGAGCCAGAAGAGGUCUGGGGCAGAGCUGAAAUCAGAGUCCUGAGGCAUCAUCACAGUGCUGACUCUCGAAGCCAGUAGAGUGAGGCUGGAGGUGGUAGGGAAGGCACCAGCUCUAGAACUUCUAUGGAGGAGCUAAGGGUGACACUUUGAUUGGAAGAAGGGGCUAGCAGACUGUUUUAAUGAUGAAACUGCACAGAAAGAAUUUUUUAAAAAAUUAGAUUGUUCAUCAGGAUGGCUUGUUGGGGUUGGUGGAGAUUAUGAGGUGGACAAGCAACUCCCCUGUACUAGUUGUUGAGACUUGUCUUUCAAGACAAGGCUCUGCUCUGUCGAACAGGGGCUAACCCCUGAAAAUGACAUCUCCCAGGCUUUCUCAUCCUCCAGCUUCUGAAUGAAUGAGAGGCACUGGCAGGAGACUGGAAGCCAAGAGAAUCUGGAAGGCCAAGAGCUUCUCCCUGGUUGCCGUUCUGAGCAACACCUCAAGAAGACUGUGUACCUCUUCUGUGACCCCAGCCUCCAACGGCAGCUCCUGCCUUGUUCCAACUCCCAUAAGGUGGUCCUGCCCCUGUGAGAGGGAUUGUGAAGACCACCAUGAAUUGUGGCCCCUACCUUCAAAAGGCCUCUGUUCCAGCUGCAGAGAUGAGGCGGACUCUAGUGAAACAUCUUAAAAUCCACAUGGACAGACUCUGUCCUCGGUCAGGAGAACCUGGGGAGCACAGGUGGAGAAACAACAUGAAACCCAGAAAGGGUCUGCUUUUGGAGGAACAUAACUUCCAAGAUGCAAUCUAUAGUAAGUAUAUUUGUGUAAGACCUGCAAGAAUGUGGAGGAAGUUUCUACCACUGAGCAGUUGGAGGCAAAGGUGGUGGAGAGAAGGUGAAUGAGUGAGGACAGUCUAAGGAUCACAGCCGAAUACCUGCCUAAAAGGGGAUAAUUAAAGACAAAGUUCUCUGGGAGUAGUACCAUAAUGUAAUGUUGUAGAGUUCCCCCAAAAUAUUUGUCCAUCUAGAACUUCAGAAUGUGACCUUAUUUGGAAAUAGGGUCUUUGCAGAUGUAACUGGUUAAGAUGAGGUCCUACCAGAUUGGGGCGGGCCCUAAAUCCAACAGCUGGUGAUUUUAUAAGAAAAAAACAGAGAGAUACACCUGGGGGAGAAGGCCAUGUGAUGACAGAGUGCGAGACAGAAGCAGUGAAGCUGAGGAAUGCCAAGGGUCUGCCAGCAGCCAUCAGAAACCAGGAGCAAGCAAUGAAGGGUUCUACCCAGAGACUCAGAGGGAGCCUGGCCCUGCUGACACCUCCAUCUCAGAUUUCUAGCCUUCAGAACUGAGAGAGAAAUGCAUUUCUGCUGUAUCAAGCCACCCAGUUUGUGGUGCUUUGUUAUGGCAGUCCUCACAAACAGGAAAGCAAACUAGGUAAGAAAUGUGCAGAAUAGGAAAAUGCUAUUUAAAUACAAGAGAGUGAUUUUUUUUCCUGUUGUUAUUCUUCUUUCAACACC